GACGAACGCUGGCGGCGUGCUUAACACAUGCAAGUCGAACGGAAAGGCCCUGCUUUUGUGGGGUGCUCGAGUGGCGAACGGGUGAGUAACACGUGAGUAACCUGCCCUUGACUUUGGGAUAACUUCAGGAAACUGGGGCUAAUACCGGAUAGGAGCUCCUGCUGCAUGGUGGGGGUUGGAAAGUUUCGGCGGUUGGGGAUGGACUCGCGGCUUAUCAGCUUGUUGGUGGGGUAGUGGCUUACCAAGGCUUUGACGGGUAGCCGGCCUGAGAGGGUGACCGGGCCCCAUGGGGGUUAGGAUACGCCCCAGAUCCCUCCGGGGGGGGCAGUGGGGGAUAUUUGCCAACGGGGGGGGACCCGGUGGCGGAACCGCGCGGGGGGGAGGGAGGCCCUUUGGGUUGAGAACCCUUUUGCCCGGGGAGAAGGCGGAAGGGCGGUAUAUGGGGAAAAAACCCCCGCUUACCUUCUG
rnacentral:rRNA from 1 species